rnacentral:lncRNA from 1 species
AAAAUAGUGUGCAAUCUUAUCAAACUUUGGUGAUCAUAAUUCAAAAAUAUUUCUUGAAGUAUGAUUUAAUGGCAACACUCAGAAACCUUUGACUCGAGGAAUUUUUGAACACCAUUGAAAUCCUUCGCUUCAAACGUUAGUAGUGGGCAUGCUAUAAAACUUUAGUGAUUUUGAAAUGAUUCUUGAAGCAGGAUUUAAUGGCAACACUCAUAAACCUUUCAUUCGAGGAACUUUUGAACACAUCAUUGAAAUCCUUCAUUUUAUAUGAAUCUAAAAUUCCUCAUUGUUAUGAUGUGAUAUGCUUAUAAGUUGUAGGAGAGACAUUGAUUCUUUGAGUUGAAAUAUUAAAUAAAUUAUGAAAUGUAUGGGAUUAAAAAUUAAUGUAAUUUAUCUACAAUAUUUU